GUUGUUUGUGAUGCUUUUUGCUAUUGGAAUAAACAGGUUAGGCAAGAUUACUGAAGCCUUUCUCUUUGGACGAGGAUGAUUACUACUAUAGCUCUAAAGUCAAUCUGUAAUUUUGUUGACCUUGGUGGGAAUCCUGUUUUAACCUUUGGUUAAAGGCAUAAUGGUGUCAAAGGAGAAGCUAAUGGAUGAGGCCCAUAGCACGGACUAUAGCUUGGUUCUUGUGAUUGACAGAUGGACUUGCUUCUUACUCAGGUCAAGGAAGAGAAAUAUUUGUUUUCUGUUGGCCUUUCCUCUUUCCAUCCUUUUUGUCGCUAAACUGGUUAUUGUUGAUUAACUGCUUUAUUCCAUUAUUUUCACAGGGUUCUGCAGAACUCGAUUUUCUUGCAACCAUUAUUCCAGGUAUGAGGCUAGCUUGUCGACAUGCUAAGACAGUUUAUAGAGCCUAAUUUAUUUCUUGGAACUUAUUAGAAAAAGUAUCAAUCUAAGUCUAUAAAGUUCUAUAUUUGUUCUUAAAAGUUGACUUUGGUACAGAUUCCUCUAAUAAAAUAUUUUAGUACAUAAUAUAGAUAACCAAAAGGAAAAAAGUGCUGGGGCAUUCCGAGAAUCGAACUCGGGACCUCUCGCACCCAAAGCGAGAAUCAUACCACUAGACCAAAUGCCCAAUGUCUGAUAUUCUUCACGUCUAGUUUGUAGCUAUUAGAUUGUUUUCUCGUAGAACUCCUAUUAACUCUCAAUGGGCUCAUUCUUGGAAUACCAAAAUUUUCAAAUCUCUCACUUUCAAUGUGGUUCAAUGAUCAUUGUCUGCUACAAUUGGAUGCUAAGGGCUUUUUUGCAUUAGCUCCAGGUUACAUCUUAUGUCGAUCCCUUAGAGGCUGAAACUUCUUUAGCUUACAAAUCUCGUAAAUUUUAUAAAUUUCUUUUAACUAUGAUGAGUCUGACAGCUAAAUCAGUACUUUUCUAGUUGUUGUAGUUAGACAUUAGCGUAUUUUGAUUGAUGCUUCAAAAUAAUUUAUAAAAUGAAAUUGCUGAACAACUAAGCAGGUAGUAGAAAUCUAAUGCCCUAAUAAACAUUUCAAGCUUGUUAUCAGAGUCUCUGGACUUAAUUUAGCUGGUAAAAGUGUUUGGUUAUGCAUAAGGAUGUAGGUCCGAAUCAUAUCUUUCAGCAAAGGGUGAGGGAGUGGGGGUUGAGGUAAGUUGCGAUCUAGCCCACAUAGUAUAGCCUGGUAGUUGAUUCAGGAAUAAGAAAUGAAAGCAGUGUUAGCAGAUAGAGAAGAUGGGAACUCUCAGAAUGGUGGAGAAGUACUUCUGCUUUUAGGUUCGCUGGAAUAUAGAUAGGCAUCACCAGUAAAAUAGCUGAACCUGCUCUUCAACGUGCAUAAGGAUACAAAUAGAUCUGAUGUGACUUAAAGAGUUGACCUUCCCGUUGGUCCUCUGAUCAUAUAUUUGAAAUUAGGGAAAAAAUGGAAAAAUGGCUGGGGCAUUCCGAGAAUUGAACUCGGGACCUCUCGCACCCUAAGCGAGAAUCAUACCACUAGACCAAAUGCCCAAUUUUGAUGUUUGUACUCAAAUAUUUUUUUUACUUUCUAGGAUCCUAUUAAUUCACAUUGGUUAACAUGAUAUGAGCAGUCCUUGUUUCUUCUCUUGCUUUUGAUUUACUUCUAUUAUAAUUUCCUUUCGAAUUGCGAUAGUGAUUUUCGUCUCUUGAAUUUGUUGGAAUUCUGUUAUAGUUCCCCUGUCUGAUGCCACCAUUGCCUCUUAAAACUUGGACCUUGGAUUGGGAUGGGAUCUUUUUGUAGCAUAGAAAUGAUGUUUGUUUAUGCUUUAUAUUUCUUGCUUUCAGAUUUGGGUGGACCAAACGAGAUUUAUGGACCAUGAGUUUUGAUAAUUUAUUUGUACAUUAUUUAUUUAUUAGGUAAAUGCUUGGUUAAUAGCUAGAUGGCUAGCCAGAUCUACCACAAACUUAUGAUACAUAGAAUGAUACGAUAAAGUGAUAUAAAGAUGAGCUGACCAGACAAUUAGGCUGGCUAUGCUUAAAGUUCUGCAGAAAGUUUAUCGUGGUUUGCUGUUUUAUUUGUGUGGGCUGCAUGCCAAAUUAAGGAGAGGCUUCUUUUUAUUUUAAGCUGCUUCUCAAUUGUGUCUUCAUUCCAUGGGAGGUUGUGGCAAAUCAAGAUGAAGUUGAUAAAUUUUUUUAUUGUGCUUUCGAAUUUGAUUUCUGGUUAGAUUCUUUUGAUCAAUAUUUCAAGUUGUAAGAUAAAACUAAAAUCAAAUAAGGAGUUGGGGCAUUCCGAGAAUCGAACUCGGGACCUCUCGCACCCAAAGCGAGAAUCAUACCACUAGACCAAAUGCCCUAUCUUGGAUGUAUUACUAGAUUUGUUUUAGUUAGCAGCUCUUUUCUUCAAGGUUGUGCUAAGUUUUGAUGUUUGUCUGCUGACUUGUUAGCAAAUUGUUCUGCUAUGUGACUUCUACCUUGGUACUCUAACGAAUGGUUGAAGGAUGAGCUUAUUGGACGAUUGGGCAGCUAUCAACUAAUUAUUAAAUUUUGCAUCUUGAUAACCUUUUUCGUUGUUGGACUUUGUAAACUGAACAGCAAACUCACAAAAAAGAGAAAGAGAAAUGAGGUCGUUUUGUUUUUUGGUCUAAGAUGUUAUUUCAUUCUGAGAAUUGAAUCCGGACCCCUUGCACCCAAUGUUAGAAACAUACCACUAGACCAAAUGCUCAUUUAUUGCUCUAAUAUGUUGUGAUUACAUUUGUAGGCAUCGCUUUUCAAGAAAUGGUGCAUACCGUUAUUUAUUGAUGAAAUCUUUGAAUCUGUGAUCGGGACUAGGUUGUUUGUGAUGCUUUUUGCUAUUGGAAUAAACAGGUUAGGCAAGAUUACUGAAGCCUUUCUCUUUGGACGAGGAUGAUUACUACUAUAGCUCUAAAGUCAAUCUGUAAUUUUGUUGACCUUGGUGGGAAUCCUGUUUUAACCUUUGGUUAAAGGCAUAAUGGUGUCAAAGGAGAAGCUAAUGGAUGAGGCCCAUAGCACGGACUAUAGCUUGGUUCUUGUGAUUGACAGAUGGACUUGCUUCUUACUC
rnacentral:lncRNA from 1 species